rnacentral:rRNA from 1 species
ACGAACGCUGGCGGCAGGCCUAACACAUGCAAGUCGAACGCUGUAGCAAUACAGAGUGGCAGACGGGUGAGUAACACGUGGGAACAUACCCUUAGGUUCGGAAUAGCUCAGGGAAACUUGAGGUAAUACCGGAUAAGCCCUUCGGGGGAAAGAUUUAUCGCCAUUGGAAUGGCCCGCGUCUGAUUAGCUAGUUGGUGGGGUAAUGGCUCACCAAGGCGACGAUCAGUAGCUGGUCUGAGAGGAUGACCAGCCACACUGGGACUGAGACACGGCCCAGACUCCUACGGGAGGCAGCAGUGGGGAAUAUUGGACAAUGGGCGAAAGCCUGAUCCAGCCAUGCCGCGUGAGUGAAGAAGGCCUUAGGGUUGUAAAGCUCUUUCAGCGGGGAAGAUAAUGACGGUACCCGCAGAAGAAGCCCCGGCUAACUCCGUGCCAGCCGCCGCGGUAAUU